UCUUAAGUGGCUCAGUGGUUAGAGAAUCUGCCUGCCAAUGCAGGAGACCCGGGUUCGAUCCCUGGGUUGGGAA
rnacentral:tRNA from 1 species